CCGCCCUCCCAGACCGGGAGUGGGAUUCCGGUCCCCGGCGCCCCGACCCACACCCUGCCAUCCCACUGGGGAAGCUGAGGCGGGAGGGUUACGAGUUCACUCCCACCCGGACUGAGAGGCGCCGGGGCCCACGUCCCAGGGCUGCUCCGAGGACCGAGGCCCGCCCUGCCUGCUACGCCUCCUAGAGUGAGGCGCGCACUGCCGCACCUUAGCUGGGAACGCGCAGGCCGGCCAGUGUCGCAGAGGCGCGAGCGUUCCUUACCCGCUGCUCCGUAGACCGGGACCCGAACUUGCUGCGCAUUCUGCGGGCGUCCUCCUCGAGGACCCCGGCGUCGGGUCUGCCGCCCUACUCUUCGCCUGGCCCCAGUACUCACUGCGCUGCCGGCUCCCGGCCAUGCGCAAACCCAUUAGACGGUGUCUCAGGCCUCCGGUCUGUGCUGGAACUUGGGACCCUUCUGCCUCAGCCUCUCCGACAGCUGGGACCACCACGCGCCCUGCCCCAGCCGGCUCCCGCUCUCCCCGCAGCCGUCUUCACGCCCACCUGCCCGGUGCUGGUGGAACCCGCGCUCGGGACGCCGCUAUGAAGUCGGGAUGACCCCGGGUCCGGCC
ensembl:lincRNA